AGGACCGUGGCGCGGUGGCGAGCGGCGCUGCCGGCCCUGCUGCCGCUGCUGCUCGCCGUGCCGGCGCUGCGCGACUCGCUCGCCGCAGAAGUCAAGCGUUUGGAAUUAGGAAACAGCAGAGCCCCUCGAAACACAAAAUGCUGCUCUCCAAACAUAGCCGGGGAAUGAUUUGUGCGUGUCAUCCCCUCCAUGACACGGCGCGGCCCAGCGUCAAGCCAUCGUGGCGCCCCGCAUCGCCGGCCAAGCAGAAGGGCCUGGGCGGGCUCGGCAGCUCCUCCUGGCCGCAUCUACUCCCGGCACGGGAGUGCCAUGGAGCAAAGCAAAAUGCAUAUUCAGGCACAGAGCUUGCAUCUCCUCCCUCAAAGUCUACUCCCCAAAGCGCAAGUGAAUCGCUGUGCUUUCAGCAGUGAAAUAAUUGAACAGUCCAGCUUGAGUAUUCAUUUUUCUUCAAGGAACAAAUUGCUAACAGCAAGCUCCUGGGUAUAAAUUGCAAUCCUCUGGGAAUUCUAACAGCUACUUGAGGUCUUUGUUAAAAAAAAUAAAAAUAAAAAAUCCCUAAGUGGCAGUAGUAUAGUGAUGGAGAUCAUGUACAAAAUGCACUCACUACAGUAUGAAUGUUGAAUGCAAUGUUUGAAGUUAAUGCAAAAGUUGAAAGUAACUUCUAAACCCAAAGGAGUUCAAGUACUUUGGGAAAUUAAAGUAUAUGAUUUAAUUUCUUCUUCCUUGACCAUAACCAAAAAUAAAAUAUAUCAAACUGUAGCCUGUAGUUCAAAAUUAGUGAUCAAACUGAUGAAAGAGCAGUUGAUCUACUGCAAGAGUCUCUGAACAUUAUCAGAAAGGAAACAUGAACUUACAGUCCAGCCAUUUGGGCAAUGAUGCAUAUUAUAUACAAGUCAAUCAGACUUCAAAGCCAUUUAGUGAUAAUGACUAAAACUGUCUGAAAAAAUUCCUUGGAUAGUU